GGACGAACGCUGGCGGCGUGCCUAACACAUGCAAGUCGAGCGGGGUCCAUCCGGUAGCAAUACCGGGGAAGACCUAGCGGCGAACGGGUGAGUAACACGUGAGAAACCUGCCCCGAAGUCUGGGAUAACCCGAGGAAACUCGAGCUAAUACCGGAUGUCUUCUUCUGAUCGCAUGGUCGGAUGAAGAAAGAUUUAUCGCUUCGGGAGGGUCUCGCGGCCUAUCAGCUAGUUGGCGGGGUAACGGCCCACCAAGGCGUCGACGGGUAGCUGGUCUGAGAGGACGAUCAGCCACACUGGGACUGAGACACGGCCCAGACUCCUACGGGAGGCAGCAGUGGGGAAUAUUGCGCAAUGGGCGAAAGCCUGACGCAGCAACGCCGCGUGCGGGAUGAAGGCCUUCGGGUUGUAAACCGCUUUCAGUGGGGACGAAUUCAGACGGUACCCACAGAAGAAGCCCCGGCCAACUACGUG
rnacentral:rRNA from 1 species